UUUAAAGGGAUAUUCAGGUGUAAAAUUAAUUUAGGGUCAAACACAUUGUAACACCGAGUUAGACCCCCCCUCCAGAGAUGAAUGUUGUCGACCGCUUGCUUCUCUAGUUAUACCAACUUUAGUAAUGACCGCAGGACAGCGGUCUGAGGAGCCAUAAACAAACCUCAACCAAAACGCCACUCUAUAGCCACAAAUAAUGCUCAGAACAGCACCUAACUUCAUCAACAGGACAUAUAGGGUCACAGACAUAGUACUAUAUUCAGAGUUGUUCUAACUCCUAAGAAAACAUAAACUUAAGCGGGGGCAUUUCUCCACUUCUGUAGUCUAUAAACUGGGCCAAUAAACUUCUACUGUAGUAAAAUGAAAAGGUAAAGGUGUUUUUAUUGAGCCGAAUUAUCAAUAAAAUCAUGAUUUUGUUAACAGGUAUGGAUUUAUGUGCUGUUGAGUUAAUAUAUUUGAACAAGAGCACAGUAAAGUUAAAUCAGCUAAUUUUCCAAUGAGGUUCUGUUACUGAACAAAACUACAUCAUGUUCUACUGAGGUUAGUACAUAUAGGGUCACAGACAUAGUACUAGACACCAAACAUCUUUUUAACUUUGACUCAUUUCUUUAGCAAAGAGACUAAACACAACUCACCUACUCUCUUCCAGCAGACGCUUGUUUGUAGAGAGACCUCAGGCCAGUCCAUUACGGACUACAGCGGGGUGCCGCAGCUCAAGGAAGAACAUUUAUGAUCAUUACUUAAUGGAAAUACAAUCAGACCGAGACGCUAAGACAGAAGAACUACCGCGUCUGUAAAAUGAUCAAUAUGAUGAUUAUUACUUCAGGGAAAUGAUAAAGAAAUGAUCCUAACCUAACCUAGUUUUACAUAUUACAUUUUUUUGACCUUUAAGGUGACAGUCUUCUUGUCUGUUAUGAUGGAUCAGUGGGACACAAAUAAACAGAUUUAUUUUCUCCUUUC